rnacentral:rRNA from 1 species
AACGAACGCUGGCGGCAUGCCUAACACAUGCAAGUCGAACGAAGCCUUCGGGCUUAGUGGCGCACGGGUGCGUAACGCGUGGGAAUCUGCCCCUUGCUUCGGAAUAACAGUUAGAAAUGACUGCUAAUACCGGAUGAAGUCUUCGGACCAAAGAUUUAUCGGCAAGGGAUGAGCCCGCGUAGGAUUAGGUAGUUGGUGGGGUAAAGGCCUACCAAGCCGACGAUCCUUAGCUGGUCUGAGAGGAUGAUCAGCCACACUGGGACUGAGACACGGCCCAGACUCCUACGGGAGGCAGCAGUGGGGAAUAUUGGACAAUGGACGAAAGUCUGAUCCAGCAAUGCCGCGUGAGUGAUGAAGGCCUUAGGGUUGUAAAGCUCUUUUACCAGGGAUGAUAAUGACAGUACCUGGAGAAUAAGCUCCGGCUAACUCCGUG